GACGAACGCUGGCGGCGUGCUUAACACAUGCAAGUCGAACGGGCCCGCCCCUGUUUUUGGGGGUGGGUUGAGUGGCGAACGGGUGAGUAUCACGUGAGUAACCUGCCCCCUGCUCCUGGAUAACUGCUUGAAAGGGCGGCUAAUACGGGGUGUGCCGGCUGGUCCGCAUGGGCCUGGUCGGGAUAGUGUCAUUUUCGGGUGUUUCGGUGGGGGAUGGGCUCGCGGCCUAUCAGCUUGUUGGUGGGGUGAUGGCCCACCAAGGCGGUGACGGGUGGCCGGCCUGGGAGGGUGGGCGGCCAGGAUGGGAGUGAGGCCCGGCCCAGCCUCGGGCGGGAGGCAGCGGUAGGGGGUAUUGAUGAAUGGGCGGAAGCCGGAUGCAGCGACGUCGCGUGAGGAAGGGAGGCCGUCGGGUAGUGAACCUCUUUCUCCGGUGGUGAAGGCCCUGUCCGUUGCGGCGGGGUUGACGGUAGCCGGGUAUGAAGCGCCGGCUAACUACGUG
rnacentral:rRNA from 1 species